GAAUUAGUUUCAGUUUUUCAAUUGUAGUAUAUCAAAUUCGUUACUGAGUUUAUACUUAGUAUUUUUUUUUUCAGAUAUGAAGAAUACUCGUAGAGGUACUACUGAGGCUACAUCAUCUCGACCUGAUAGAGAAUAUGUUGUCCAUUACUAAGCCGAUCAUGGCAUUAGGGCAAACUGAUGCAUUGCGUACACAACUUGCCACAUUU
rnacentral:lncRNA from 1 species